rnacentral:misc_RNA from 1 species
GAUGAAGAACGCAGCGAAAUGCGAUACGUAAUGUGAAUUGCAGAAUUCAGUGAACCAUCGAAUCUUUGAACGCAUAUUGCGCUCUUUGGUAUUCCGAAGAGCAUGCUUGUUUGAGUAUCAGUAAACACCUCAAAGCUUUUGGAUUUUUUAAUCGAAAAGCUUUGGACUUGAGCAAUCCCAACACCAAUCUUUUUGAGAUCGGUGGCGGGUUGCUUGAAAUGCAGGUGCAGCUGGACAUUCUCCUGAGCUAAAAGCAUAUUCAUUUAGUCCCGUCAAACGGAUUAUUACUUUUGCUGCAGCUAACAUAAAGGGAGUUUGACCGUAUUGGCUGACUGAUGCAGGAUUUCACAAGGGUCGGCAACGAUUCUUGUUAAACUCGAUCUCAAAUCAAGUAAGACUACCCGCUGAACUUAAGCAUAUCAAUAAGCGGAGGA